rnacentral:rRNA from 1 species
AACAGAAGACAGGAACGGUGGCACAUUACCCUCAUCUCGAAUCUCGUUAAAGAUGUAGCAUACAUAGUACAACCAGCGGCCAGACAACAAUAAUAAUAAAUAUUAUGAGUAGGAGGGGGAAUCCGCCUUACUAAAAACCAAUUCGUGGUCCGAAUCCGGUGUCAUCUAGGCUCGGGGAAGUCCAGAAUCCAUUAUGGUAUCCUCAAAGUUUGCUUCUGUUUUAAAGAUAAGUAGAAGGAGCUAUGCUUGAGCCUGCCGGUUCUGCUCUAUGGUUGAGAAUAAUGCGUAUGCGUCGACGUAAUCGAAAGGAACGAUACUUCACUCACAUCAUGAUUAGGAGCCCAUGACCUAACCGAAGAGGAAAGUAGAGAGUUUCAAACUGCCUUUUGCCGUGAAGACAUCAGCGGGGUGGUUAUAAGAAAAUAUCUUAUUUUAACCAAAGUCGUUCGUAUGGAAGAAGUAAUGAUUAAUAGGGGUAAUCAGGGGCAUUCACAAGAAACUGUCGGACGGGGAACUCCUAAAUUUGGUAAAGACGGGCUGCUGCGAAAGCCUUAAUCAGGGAUGUUUUCAUUGAUCAAGAUCGUAAAUUAGUGGGGAGCAGGAGAUCAGAUGGCGUCUUAGUCCAAACCAUAAACCAAUCGACUUGAGAAAUGAGGCAGUUAUUCAUUUGACUCAUUCAGCAGAACAUGAAGGUCAAAGGUAAUGGGUUCCGGGGGGACCACCCUCGCAAGGCUGAAAAUUUGAGGAAUUGACGGAAGCUCCCCACCAAGAGUGGAGCCUUUGGGUUUAUCUUUGCAACACGCGCAGCAAGGGAUUAUUUAGAUAUUCUCACUCGCGCGGGCGCGAGCGCGCGCAAGAGAGAGAGUCCCACUACGAAUAAUAAAAUA